CAUAAGACUGCCAUCAGCCACUGAGGCGAGGGGCCGCAAGCAGUGGGAACCCUGGUGCCAUUGGGAGCUGGCAGCCAGCUUAUUAACGAACCGUUUGGUGGCUGAACUCUCAGCAGGGAGUGGCCAUUCAGCAAUCCUCCAGCAGGCCACGGAUCAUCACAAGGCCCUGGCGCAUCUGUGGGCUCUGAUCCAAGAUAUCUCAACACUCAAUAUGUAAACUCAAGAUUCAGGACUUCAUGGACAUGACCUAUCAGAUCCUAACGAGAAGCCCAAGAUCUGGAAAAGGAAGACAUUGG
rnacentral:lncRNA from 1 species